rnacentral:rRNA from 1 species
CGCACGGGUGAGUAACACGUAUGCAACCUGCCUGCCACAGCCGGAUAAUCGGGAGAAAUUCCGUCUAAUACGGCAUAAUGCAUCGACGGGACAUCCUGUUGGUGCCAAAGGUUGAUUCCGGUGGCGGAUGGGCAUGCGUCGCAUUAGUUAGUUGGCGGUGUAACGGACCACCAAGACGACGAUGCGUAGGGGUUCUGAGAGGAAGGUCCCCCACAUUGGAACUGAGACACGGUCCAAACUCCUACGGAAGGCAGCAG